rnacentral:tRNA from 1 species
AGCUCUGAGGUGUUAACACGUUAGAUUGCAAAUCUUAAGUAGUCGGCUGACGCCGGCCGGGGCUU